CGCCCCAUCUCUCUUUCUCACCCUUUGUUUGACCCUCACACGUUCUGUCCCACUCCCAUGUGCUCUCUAUUCCAUGCUCACCCUCUCUUCCUCUCUUCUUCCUUACCUUCUUCUCUUCUUCUUUUCUUCUUCUUCUUCUCUCUCUCUUCCUAGAUUUUCUUUCAUCGAAACUAAGAAAGAAAGGGAAGAAAAGGGGAAAGACUUUCUUUCCCUCUACCUCUCUCUCUCUCUCUCUCUCUCUCUCUCUCUCUCUNNNNNNNNNNNNNNNNNNNNNNNNNNNNNNNNNNNNNNNNNNNNNNNNNNNNNNNNNNNNNNNNNNNNNNNNNNNNNNNNNNNNNNNNNNNNNNNNNNNNNNNNNNNNNNNNNNNNNNNNNNNNNNNNNNNNNNNNNNNNNNNNNNNNNNNNNNNNNNNNNNNNNNNNNNNNNNNNNNNNNNNNNNNNNNNNNNNNNNNNNNNNNNNNNNNNNNNNNNNNNNNNNNNNNNNNNNNNNNNNNNNNNNNNNNNNNNNNNNNNNNNNNNNNNNNNNNNNNNNNNNNNNNNNNNNNNNNNNNNNNNNNNNNNNNNNNNNNNNNNNNNNNNNNNNNNNNNNNNNNNNNNNNNNNNNNNNNNNNNNNNNNNNNNNNNNNNNNNNNNNNNNNNNNNNNNNNNNNNNNNNNNNNNNNNNNNNNNNNNNNNNNNNNNNNNNNNNNNNNNNNNNNNNNNNNNNNNNNNNNNNNNNNNNNNNNNNNNNNNNNNNNNNNNNNNNNNNNNNNNNNNNNNNNNNNNNNNNNNNNNNNNNNNNNNNNNNNNNNNNNNNNNNNNNNNNNNNNNNNNNNNNNNNNNNNNNNNNNNNNNNNNNNNNNNNNNNNNNNNNNNNNNNNNNNNNNNNNNNNNNNNNNNNNNNNNNNNNNNNNNNNNNNNNNNNNNNNNNNNNNNNNNNNNNNNNNNNNNNNNNNNNNNNNNNNNNNNNNNNNNNNNNNNNNNNNNNNNNNNNNNNNNNNNNNNNNNNNNNNNNNNNNNNNNNNNNNNNNNNNNNNNNNNNNNNNNNNNNNNNNNNNNNNNNNNNNNNNNNNNNNNNNNNNNNNNNNNNNNNNNNNNNNNNNNNNNNNNNNNNNNNNNNNNNNNNNNNNNNNNNNNNNNNNNNNNNNNNNNNNNNNNNNNNNNNNNNNNNNNNNNNNNNNNNNNNNNNNNNNNNNNNNNNNNNNNNNNNNNNNNNNNNNNNNNNNNNNNNNNNNNNNNNNNNNNNNNNNNNNNNNNNNNNNNNNNNNNNNNNNNNNNNNNNNNNNNNNNNNNNNNNNNNNNNNNNNNNNNNNNNNNNNNNNNNNNNNNNNNNNNNNNNNNNNNNNNNNNNNNNNNNNNNNNNNNNNNNNNNNNNNNNNNNNNNNNNNNNNNNNNNNNNNNNNNNNNNNNNNNNNNNNNNNNNNNNNNNNNNNNNNNNNNNNNNNNNNNNNNNNNNNNNNNNNNNNNNNNNNNNNNNNNNNNNNNNNNNNNNNNNNNNNNNNNNNNNNNNNNNNNNNNNNNNNNNNNNNNNNNNNNNNNNNNNNNNNNNNNNNNNNNNNNNNNNNNNNNNNNNNNNNNNNNNNNNNNNNNNNNNNNNNNNNNNNNNNNNNNNNNNNNNNNNNNNNNNNNNNNNNNNNNNNNNNNNNNNNNNNNNNNNNNNNNNNNNNNNNNNNNNNNNNNNNNNNNNNNNNNNNNNNNNNNNNNNNNNNNNNNNNNNNNNNNNNNNNNNNNNNNNNNNNNNNNNNNNNNNNNNNNNNNNNNNNNNNNNNNNNNNNNNNNNNNNNNNNNNNNNNNNNNNNNNNNNNNNNNNNNNNNNNNNNNNNNNNNNNNNNNNNNNNNNNNNNNNNNNNNNNNNNNNNNNNNNNNNNNNNNNNNNNNNNNNNNNNNNNNNNNNNNNNNGUACUUUCCUUCCUCCUACCUCUCUCUCUCUCUCUCUCUCUCUCUCUCUACUUAUCUAUUCACUCUUUAACUCUCACACACUCUCUCUCACUCCCUCGUGUCCCCUCUGUUAGGCAUCCUCUCUGUAAGUUGAACAAUGGAGAGGUGCCACCAGUCAUUUCCCUCACAUCCUGUAAUAGAAAGUAGGACAAGGUUGUGGUCACUUCCGCUAUUAUAUACGUAGAAACUUGGGUUUUAGAAUUUUUGAAAAUUUUAGAAAGAAUUUUAAUUUUUUUAAGGAUUUAUAGAAACUAAUUUUAAAAUAUUAUCGAACCAUUAAUUCGGUACAUAUACAUGAUUUUGGGUUAUUUGAUCUUGAGGAACUUUAGUGGAGUACUUAGAUUGUACCAUAGUUGGCAUCUACGAGAUAAAUAACAUCUUUAUUUUAUAUUAAUUAAUUAAAAAUUAUCUUGUCAUUCAAAAUGGUACAAAUUGUUAUAAUUAAUUUAAAUUCAAUGGUAUAUGAAAUCUAUAUAAAUGUCAAUAAUUAAUUAAUGAUUUUGUUUUUGUUAAUUAAAUUGGAUAUGGUUGGAUCAAGCAUGUAAAAUCAUAUAUACUACAUAUUUAACGAUACACUCAAAAGCAAUUUCAUAAUAGAAAAGAAAUACUUAAGUUAUCUAUAUAUUUAUAUAUAUCAUCUACCUCUCAUCUCUACUGUAUAUGAGUUCACACUUAAUUAUAUAACGAUCACCAUAGGAUGAUCGUGUUGAUCCCCUACCACAAAGAUAUAGUAUAUACCUACUAUAUAUCACCAUAUAGCGACCCCACCACAAGGGUGAUUAUGGUGAUCCCUAUGAUGAGAGACAUCGUGGUGCCCUUGUCAUGGGAUAAUCAUGAUAAUACCUAAACCGUAGAGGUAUAAUUAUGCCACAAUCUAUUGAGCUAAAAGGGUUGGAUACCCAUAUUCAAGUAUAUAAAUAUGAGUAUGAUUAUGUUAUUGGACAUGCAUUGGACUCUAAUAUGGUAUUGUAUUGAUUCUCUAUGUCAAUAUUAUUGAAAAAAUAAUAUUCAAUUUUGGUAUGUGGAUAUCAUCGAUAAUAGAUGCUAUAAGCAUUACUUUUAAAAAUGUAUUAUACCUUAUUUGACUUAAUUAAAUUGCAUUAUUAAUAUGGCUUGAACCAGUUUUAUAAAAUAUACCGGUUACUUACUAAGUUGUGAAUCUCAUAAUUAAAUUUUACCUAUUCCUUUUCAGAUCUAGGAACUAGAUUGGUAUAGGCAUUUUUGAGAAAUAUUAAAGGCAUGAUCAUUCUUGUAGAUGGUAGAACAGGUUUGAUUAGUAUAUCUAUAUUAUAAUGUUUUCUGGAUUAUGUAUAAUUAAUUUAAAUGCUAGAUGUUUUGGAUUGUAAAAUUUAGAAGGAAAAACUAUGUUAUUACUUAUGCUGGUGUGUAUAAUAUAUGCGUUAUUUUAGAUUAAUAGUUUUGUUACGAUGAUAUUCACUAUCUCGUGUAUGAAUUAUAUAAUUUUUAGGUUAUAUUGAAUUUUUAGGUUAUAAAAAAAUACCUUGCAUAUUUAUAGGGCCAACCUUAUGACUAUGUGGCGUCUAUCAUGCCCUCAAAUUCUAUUUCUGGGAGUGGGGGCAUGACAAAAUUUAUCUUCAAUCCUUUCGAUAGCUUAAAGGAAUGGAGGAUGAAUUUUAGAUUUGAGGCAUGACAUUGAUCGGCAUUGCACAAGAUGAGUACGUCAUCCAUGCAUUAGAUGCAUGAUCCUGUAGCUAGUUUCCUUGGGACCGGUGCAGCAACUAAAUUGUUUCUCGAUCCACUUGAAGCAAACAUUCUAGAGUAUUAUUAACUAAUAUGAACAGGAGAGGUGACAUUGGAUCAUCUUGUUUGUGGCAAGAAUCCAUUUAGAUGGUUAUCCAUUGCUAAUGGGUGCGAGUUUGCGGGAAGAGAGGAUAUUGCUGAUAUAUGAACAUCACUUUUGGGCCAAAGUCCCUAGCUUUGAGAUGUGGGCAGGAAUUGCCAAUCUCUUCUGUAAAAGGCAUUUUCAAAAUCUAUUACCAUAUCAAGUAUUCGGCAAGCUUUUAUUUUCAGUUGAUCCCAGUUAGAAUAAAAUGUGCACCUUUAGAAACGCUCGGUCCACUUUGGCAAUGUGGACAUUUGAGUCCACCUUCCUCUCCACCCAAGAUCAUGGACGCUCACCACCACAUGGAUAGCUAGGGCAACAACUUAAACAAUGCCAAUAGGCUACGUUCAAUGAGGUGCCAACAAAAUAGGCAUGCAUCUCAGUUUGCGGACAAUACCGACAAGGGGAUUGUCCAUAUCCACGCUGUUGUCGACCAUAUUGAGGUUGUGGAAGGGAAGAAUUGUGUGUAUACACGUUUCCAACAUGAUCUAUGCCGAAUUCUAGUAUUAACUAUAUAGCACACUGUGUUGACUUUAUAAUAGAUCAGUUUCAGUCUUUCUAAUUGCAGUAUUUUCUCUAUAGAAUCGUUGACAUCUUUCUGCUCUACGAUUUUCUGUUUUCCUAGAUCUGAUGGUUUAACAUCUAGUUUGUGCAAGUUCUGGUAUGAUAUGACACUGUCCUUUUGCCUCAUGCAGCACACGUAUUCUCAAUACCUAGUGUUAAGUUGCGAGAUUCUAUUCGCUUGCAAAUAAUUAUUAUAUAUAUAUAUAUAUAUAUAUAUAUAUAUAUAUAGUUAUUANNNNNNNNNNNNNNNNNNNNUAAUAUUAUAUAUAUAUAUAUAUAUAUAUAUAUAUAUAUAUGUUUAAUUCUUAUAGAAGUAUUGGAUGAUCUACAAAAUUCAUCAAUUAAGACCUGCUUAUUUCUCUAACGUUCUCUCACUGCAAUACUCUGUUCGACUGUUCCAAUAGCUACAUAAUUAAAUUUUAAUUUGAGAUUUUGCAUGUGUCUAAUGCACAUGUUGCAGAUUUUCUUAUACUUUGCUACUCGAGAUGCACACCUCACAUGGAGUGCCUGAUCGGAGGUGCAUGCCACAUAAACCCACUAGAUUUUUUCUUCGUACUCAUGUUAUCACCUUACUUGGCAGCUUAUUUCUUACUCAAUUAUCUAAUGUGUUCCUAAACAACAAAAAUUGCUAAACUAAUAAUUCAUGAUAUUCAUGUUCCGAUAUAUAAUAUAGCACUAUGAUAAAACAGGCCUGUAUACAUCUUGAUAUGAGGUAUGGAAGCUAUCGAUCAUUAUAUCCAUGGAUUUUCCAUGGGUAGCACGGUUUAGUUGAUAUUAAUCUUUUUUAAUGUGAAUUUUCUGUUUGACAGGUCAUCGGUGCUUAUGUCAGUAUUUUCAGUUUAAAACCUGACGAUUAACAGGAUCUGAUCAGAGAGGAUGUGAAACUUAUGAGAGCAGUUUGUUGCUAAUAGGCAACAUGAGGACUUUAAACAUAACUACAUAUACUGUGAGAUAACUGCCCUAGUUUGUUCAGAUUGGUCGACCUCUUUGAUCCCCAUGAGCUGGAUAAAAUCAUUUUAAUCCUAAUUUCAUUCUUUAUAAUGCUUAUGUUCUUCCAAAGUUUUAUUCAUUUGGAACCUUUCUAGGCAUAUCCUGCACAUAUCACUGUACAAAUAAUGGACCAAAGUCAUAAUAUUCGUAUCUUCACCAGAAACCUGAUGGUAGCUAAGAUUUGCUAUGUCUGUGACUAUAGUUCUUGAUAUGGUAUUACUGUUUCAGCUAUAAUUUAGAUAUGGGGCAUGGCAUCACAAACAAGGGUAACAAUAAGAAAUAGGAGACAGUUCACACCGCUGGCGCAAGAAGCUACAUGCACAUUCAUCAUGAAUAUGUAGCUUUAUAUUUUAAGUUGAAUGCUCACUAUCACUGCAUCUAUAUUAAUGUUAGUUGGACUCUUUAUGUGUUUUAUUGACAUUAAAAAGAGAAAUAUAGAAUGGAGUUUACAACAGCAGUGAUGUUUUUUUCUUGACCCAUAUGACCCAUACAAAAAAAAGUGAGAUGCCUAUGACACUAUUGCUCUUGUACACUCCACUCUAUAGUUUAUUCUUUUUAAUCUCCCUGUGGAUGAAUAUUAAAGGAGACUUGAUACUCAGGCUAGGCCGGUCCAAGGUCUAGAAAAAUUCUAAGACCUGAUUAAAAUGACCACUCAAACUUUUUGAGACUGGUAUAAAGGGUAACAUAGUGUUUCUUCUUGAAUCACCUUUAGCUGCAUGUACAAUUUCUUGCAAUUAGUGUUGAUUUUGCCAGUUUUUCAUGGACUAGUCUAUAUUGCUUGAUGGGAAUGACCUGUUGUUCUUUUACACACAUUUAAUUCCAUUAAUGACAUGAAAAUAAUUGACUUCCAUUUUGAAAGUUUUUUUCUUUCUUUCAGACAUUUGAAUGUUGUGUGGUCUCUAUGAUGUUGUCCUUUACAUAGAAAAAUUAAGUAGGUUUCUUCAAAUGAAAUUGAAAUUAGCAGGUUGAUUGAACAAAUUCUCAAUGAAGGAUCCAUCUGGAGAAACGUGAUUUCCUUCUUUGCAUUCUACAAUGGACUGUAGUACUUCAAUAACUUUAUAAUGCAGUUGUAUUUUAGAUGGUGCUUCAAUAAUUUAAUGGCGCAGUUAUAUUUUAGAAUCUUUCUUUCCAUGGAGCAUCCUUUUAGUUCAUAGAACUUAAUUUUCUUCAUCCUUUAGUGAAUAGAAUCUUAGGCUUGCCCUGCAAUAGCCAGUUAUUUUUCUUCAUAGCUGGUUGGCUACUUGUAGUUCUGUUCAAAAGGAUGAUGGAAAGAUUUCCUAAGGUAGAAUUCUAUCCUUAGCUUACGAUUUUGAAUGUUUCAGCUGAUAUUAAACCACAGCUGAUCAAGUAAUUCUUUUUUCUUUUUCUUUUUUUCUCUGAGAAUCUUUGCCUCUGCCAUUACUCAAUAAUGAGAUUUCCUUUUCUGGCUAUGCCUUUGCAGUACUGCCAUUGAAGUGGGGAAUGAUCCAUCAUGCUUAUGUAAAUUACUGACAUGCACCAAAAGAAAGGAAGAAUUGUUGUUUUCUAUCUCUGUGUUUCUUUAUUAACAUUUUAGUGGUGGGACAUCAUUAAAUGUCAACCAAAAUCGACUAACUAAUGCUACAGCAACUUGAUGAUUUCAGAGAAACAAGAAUAACAUAUGAAUUCCUUCCUUUGUAAAUAUAAUUGGACCAACAGAGUUAAUGAAACCUUCAGUCAGGGUUGUUGCUUGUAGCUGAUUUAAUUUGAGGUUUCCAGAGUUCUGAUUGUUUUAGCACAUGGGCGUCGCUUGUGGUUCCAACAGUAAUAAUAGAUCAUAAUUCAACUAUCUUGACACUAUCAAGUAUUGCUUCUAUCUCACUCCCAAGCAAUUCUUAUAUCCGCAAUUAAAUAUGUGAAUCUAAAAGAAAAGAAGAGGUAUUCAACUUGAUAGCUAAUAACUAAUGAAUAUCUAAACUAGAUAUUUCAAGUAUUAUCAUAAGAUGUGAUAUUCGAAAACAAAUGUCAUAAAUAAAUAUAAAAAUGUAUACCAUACUAAUUUAUAUAAAUCAAAUAUUUUCAAAAUAUUGGUACACAUACAUAAUCAUAAAUUCAAUUUGAAGCAAAUCAUAUAUAACUCAACAAUCUUUAACUGUAACAACACAUAUCCUUUGGCAAGAUCAGAACCGAAAUAAUGAGCUCAAUCAUAAUCAGAGUACCAACGCAUAACUCUUAUUAGUAACAUUCAAAGAAUUAAUGCAUGACCCUCAUUGACAGCGUCCAGAGAUCAAUGCACAACUCUCAUUGAUAGGAUCUAGAGAAUAUAGUUAGGCUAAGAACUCAAGUUCGAUAUGUACCAAAAUAUUUUUGCAAGAUAACAUAUAUAUUAUAAGUCUAGUCAAUGCAUAUAUAUUCCAUAAUAAGCCGAUAAACUAUAAUUUUUUCAAAAUCUCAAAUUUAUAAACUACACUCCAUUCAAAUAUAGUUUCAAAAAUCACAUAUGAAUCAAAGACUAAUUAUCUACUCUCAAUAUAAAAUUAUUUAAAUAAAAUAUCUCGAAAAGAUUGUCCAUUAUUUAUCUAUGUAGAAACAAUGAAUGGAGAGAUUCAAUCAAUCCUGAGAUUAUCCUUCAAAAUCUAAUAUCCAAAAUUAUGUUUUGAUUAAAAUUUAAUUAUGAAUAUUUAAAAAUAAAAAUCAUAAAUUCCAACACCUUCACAUGGCUAGCAAAGCGAUAACACCUAACAUCUUGGUCAGUCUAAUAAAGACAAUUAUAUCUUAUCAUGAUUAGACAAAAAUAUAGGGAUUGAAUAGAGAUCAAAGGUGAACAAUCUAGUGGUGCCCAAUAAGAGCAAACGUAGAGGCCAAUACGUCGUCGGGUGAUCAAGGGCCAGUUUGAUCAACUUUACCCAAUCAAAGACUUAAGAUAGAAGAAUUUGACAAAGAUCAAAAGAGACUAAAUCAUGAGAUUCUUGACAAAAGCUUAAGUGGUAUGGAUGUGUUAGUUGAUCAACGAGAUGGUUUAAAGUUUCUCUACUAGGGUCAACUUGAAUUCGAAGCAACGGAGUUGACCAGGCAACAAUGUUUGGUAAUACAUAUCAAUCCAAUCAAAGCAACAAGGUUUGGCUCGAGCAUAGAUAGUUCAAUAAAAAUUAAAAAUUAUAAAAUUUAAUAUUGUUCGAUGAAGAUCGAUAGCGGCCAAUAUACUGCUUGGCUACGAGGAUGGCUCAAAAUCGUUUACUAGGAUCGAUCAAAGUAAUAUAAUAGAGACUCUCCGGGGUCCGUCCAACGUCAUGUAGAUAAGAGCAGAGAGAGAAAAUCCAUAUAGAGAGAGAAAUGAUCCGGAGAUAGAAAAUUUAUGGAGAUAGAAACUUUUGGAGAGAGAAGCUUGUAGAGAGAGAGAAUCUAGACAAAGUUUCCCCAUUCAUCUUGAGACAAGGGAACCUCCACCAGCGAUGGUGGUCAUGGCCGAUGGUUGCUGUAGCCACAGUCGUGCAAGCCCUGUAGCUGGCAAUCGGCGGCGAAGAAAGCAGCCGGAAAAAUCAACCAAAACAACGGUGACAGGGCUUCGAUCCUUAACCCAUGUGACAACGGUAACCGGAGAUCGGGGGCUCCGGCCACGACUACACGCCAACAUGGGUGGCUGGUCAAGAACUUUGGAGACACAUGCCGACGGCGCGAAAGUCCAGAAAAAAGAGAGACAAGGCCAAAAAUUAGAUCUAAAAAUAGGGAAAUGGCUUACCGAUUGAAAUCCGGCAAUUUCACAUCCAUAUCGCGUUCGGCGGCUGCUAUAUGGGGUAGGGAUGGGAGGAGAGACAAUGCCGGUGAGGUAGGAGGCGAUGGUGCCUCAUCUCCGGCGAGAUCUCAAGUCCCACAUGGUGCCAGUCUAUCAGAAGAUAAAGAAGAAAAUGUGGCCCAAAUCGGCGGUGAUUUCCGAUGAAAUGACUCGAAGGGGUGCUUGAAGGUUCUAAAUAAAGCUAGGAGGUCAUCGGAAUCAGGCUCAGAGUCGGAUUUCAUCUGGUGAAUUUGGGGAGGAGAAGACUUCCAUCGGAAGCUUUCUCUCUUUUCGGCUUUUCCUUUUUCCUUGGGCUGAAUUUUGCUUCUGGCCUGGUCAAAUGGAUUGGGCCCGCCUUUAUUAUGUCCACUACAGUGGGGUAUUACAGUACAGCUCACAGCUCGGAUGUCGUACUCAUCCAUUUCGGCAAGUGUCUAUUGUUGAACAUUAAAGUUUUCAUAUUCCUGCUUCUUUAUAUUCUUAUGCACAAAGCUCUCGCAGUGCUCAUCAUAACUGUCAAGAUUUUAUGUGCAUAGAGCCUUCUCCUACUCAUACAUGGAGUUGCGCUCUACUCUAAUGCUCCAAUCUCUAUGUCAAUAAUUUACCUAAUUGAUCCACAGCUGCUAGCAUGUGCAAGCUUUCUCCCAUAGCCAAUCCAUACUUCCUCGAAACAAACAUGGCUUUCUUGACAGCCCUUAGACGUGUCAGCUCUAUAUCAGUUUCUUGUAAGACUGAAAACGGUUUCCAUAUGUUCAAAUGCUUUAAACCAUGAGUCUGUAAUUGGUGGCAUUUAUCUCAUUAAUUAACAAGAAGAAGCAGAAUUAAACAUUUUUGUAUAGGUACUGCGACAUGAUUCAUUUCAAUAUAUGAUUUACUGCUUGACUUCUUUCUGCAAACAAAUUUUUUUUUUUCACCUUACAUUCAUCAAAUACUUUGCAUCUUAUGACAGUUCUAUUUAACUGAUCAUCUUGCAAAACAGAAAGUUGUAAUCAAUGACAGGGGUAAUUCAACCCCCCUCUUCCCCCCAACGCCAACUCCCUUUUGCAAUGACUUGGGGGUUUCUUAUGUGCCUUUUCAAUAUGCCUUGUUGAUAUUUUUUGACAUGAUAAAUUUGCUAAUAUUUGCUCAAGUUUGUUUAACAAUGUUCGGUAGAGACAUGUGCAACUUAAGAGAUGAUGAGUUUGUUUUAAAAAAAAAAAAAAAAAAACCAGAGAGAGAAUAGGGAACAAAAUCUUCAUCCGAACUAUGAAUUCGAGGUUCAAUCAUUUGAGAGGCCUUCUUUGACUUAAUCACCUACUAUGAGUAAUACAAUUUUGUCGAUCACAAUCAGGCAACCCAAGGAAUACUCCAAUAUUUGGAUUAAAAGGGUUCCACAAACUAGCAUCAAAAUUAGAACCAAACGUGGCUUAGAUAAUGAAUCGGGUUCUUCUGAUCAGUAUCCUCCAACUUUUCUAAGCUACCUAAAUUCCCACUGGUUCGGUUGCAUUUUUGUCUAAAUUUGCCCUCGUCCGGUAAUUGCACAGCACAUUAGGUAAUCGCUCUAUAUAUAGGUACCAAACACAUCAAAGACUAACUCUUGCUGGACAACAUCGAAAAAGUCAUCGUACCAAACAAAGUUUCUCUCAAGUCGAGCAUAGUUAGUAGUCUCAUCCAAAUUGCAUUUACCUUCCUUAGCACGUGUCAAUGUCCAGCCUUUUAAAAAGUAUACUAUUGCUUUAGACACUCUUAAAUUAGGAUACCGAGAUACAAAGGCCCCUGCUUCGUAUGUUGAAGUAGAGGUUUAUAUUGUAAGACUUUCUAUAGUAGUUAAUGUAAUAUGAAUUCAAUUGCACUUAAGCCUGCUGAUAUUUCACUUAUCCCACACUAGAAUUUAAUUUUGUAUGAUGUCUUCAUCUCUUUAGCAUAUUUAACAAAAAAAAAAAGAAAUUUUUAAUCAAUUGCAGGGAUGCCCAGUGAAAGGGAGGAAAAUGGAGUUUGAUUCUUAGUUUUGAGGUAAAUACAUAUUUCCCCUUAAAUUGUAAUUUUGGGUGAUGUAUGUCUUGUUAAUUAUAUGAGUGAACCGCCUAAGUAUGUAGAAAUAAAUACUAACUCUCUGGUAUGAAUAGAAACUCUCCAAGAGUUCCCCUAUGAUAAACGACAACAAAAUAGAAUAAAUACUAACUUCUAGUUGAAUAAACACAAAAUAUAUAGAAAUAGACACAACCUCCGGGAAUAAAUACAAACAACCAAAGGAUAAGCACAAAACUAAGAAGUUACUCUUUAUCUUGUGCGAGACAAAUCGAGAAUAAAUAUAAACUGUCCCAGAAUAAAUACAAACUCUACAUAAUAAAUGAAAACUCUAUAUGGUAAACAAAAACUCUAUGGCAACUAACACAAAUAGUUUAGAAUAAACAUAAAUUUGGUCCUCAAAAUUUUAGUCAUUCAAGGAUCCCCCCAUAGUAAAAAACAAGAGAGGAUAAUAAAUACCAACUCUAAUGGGACAAACACAAAUCUUAUGAAAAUAAACAUAAAUUCUCUAAAGUAAAUAUAAAUAGGCCCAAGCUAAAUACAAACUAUCCCAGAAUAAAAACAAACUCCAUAUAAUAAAUAAAAAAUUAAUAUAAUAAUACAAACCACCUAGAAUAAAUAAAAACUAUUUAUUUUCAUGGAGAGUUUAUCCUAAGCCUAUUUGUGCUUACUCCAUAGAGUUUGUGUUUAUUUCUAUAGGAUUUAUGUUUAUCCCACCAAAAAUUAGUAUUUAUUCUUCUCUCUUGUUGUUUAUCAUGGAAGAUCCUUAGAUAAUCCAAGUUUUAGGGGCCAAAUUUAUGUUUAUUUUUUAGAUAGUUUAUAUUUAUUGUAUAGAAUUUAUAUUUAUUAUAUGGAGUUUCUAUUUAUUUUUUGAGUUUAUAUUUAUUUUAGGAUAAUUUGUGUUUAUCCUAGCAUGAUCCCAUAUAAGAUAGAGAGCAACUUCUUAUAUUUUUUGUAUUUAUCCUUGGGCUGUUUGUGUUUACUCUAGAGAAUUUGUGUUUAUUUUUAUAUACUUUAUCUUUAUUCCACCAUAAGUUAGUGUUUAUCCUACUUUAUUAUUGUUUAUCAUGUGGGGACCCAUGGAGAAUUUUGGUUUAUUCUAGAAAAUAGAGUUUAACAUAGGUUAGUUUGUGCUGAACCACUUUACAUCAUUUAUUACGUACUGAACCAUUUUACAUCAUCUAUUACAAAGACUAAAUAUCUGAAGUUCGUAAUUGUCAGCAUAACAUUAAAUGUACAAACCAAAUAAAAUAAAUCAUAUCAUUGUGUAGAAGUAAUAUAUUCGUUCACAACUAUGUACAACCAUAUAUCUUUAUAUCUUAAUGACUGAACACAUCAUAUGCAUGGCUUACAUAUAAUAUAUAUCCAAGUCAAAGUAGUAUCCAUCAUAACAAAAUUAUAAGCAUAUAAUUUAAAACACUGAUAAGCCGGCAUGGUUAUCGAAUUGCUCUUUCUUAUAUGAAUCACUAUUGAUAUAAGCUUGAAAUCAUCUUCCUGCAUAAAGCAUAACACUCAGUAAGUCACAAGAAAAGGAUUCUAUCAAAAUAUCAUACAAAUUACUAAUUAAUUAAAAAGAUGUAGCCAGAUUUUGAUGACCGACGAGAUGAAGAGAGAGGAAGGGGGUAUCUUAGGUGGAUGAUUUUGAUGAGAGAGAGAGAGAAAGAAAAUGAGAGGACAGGCCAUGAUUCCGAUCGGAGAAAGAGUUUUAGAAGGAGAGAGAGAAUGAGAGGUAUUUGCACCAAUAAGAGAGAGAAAGAAAGAGAAAAUGAGAAGAGUUUGUGCCAGCGAGAGAGAUAUAGAGAGAUAGAGAGAGAAUGAGAGGUGUUUGCAUCCAUGAGAGAGAGGGGGAGGAGUUUCUACUGAUGAGAGAUGGAUGAAGAGAGAAUGUCUCAUGUUUUGCCAGCAAGAGAGACAGAAGAAUGCUAUUUAAAAGAGAGCUCAUUCUUUCAUGUCCUAUCCCCAUUAACAUAUAUUUUUUUAUUAUUUUUAAAUACCAUCUCAUCCAAACAAAAACUUUACUAAAGAGCUCAUCCCUUUCAUGUCCUAUCCCCAUUAAGAUAUAAUUUUUUUUCUAAUUUUCAAAUACCACCUCAUCCAAACAAAGGCUAAUGCAAUCCCAUCCCCCAUGAAUGAGCUUAUUUUUUCAGCCAAAUGGCCAUGGGAGCCUAUCUUUUAGCUAAAAAAGAAUGCAUCGGGAUCCAUGCUGAUCCUGUGAUCCCAAGGGCUGGGGAAUUGACUCAAUUUGGGCUCAGAUUGAACAAGGGCUGGGGAAUUGACUCAAUUUGGGCUCAGAUUCAAUCAAUCUGAGCCCAAUCUCUCUCUCUCUNNNNNNNNNNNNNNNNNNNNNNNNNNNNNNNNNNNNNNNNNNNNNNNNNNNNNNNNNNNNNNNNNNNNNNNNNNNNNNNNNNNNNNNNNNNNNNNNNNNNNNNNNNNNNNNNNNNNNNNNNNNNNNNNNNNNNNNNNNNNNNNNNNNNNNNNNNNNNNNNNNNNNNNNNNNNNNNNNNNNNNNNNNNNNNNNNNNNNNNNNNNNNNNNNNNNNNNNNNNNNNNNNNNNNNNNNNNNNNNNNNNNNNNNNNNNNNNNNNNNNNNNGCAGGUAACUAAGAUAUUAAGCUCUGUUAAAGUGAAUAAAUAUUUAUAAAACUAGGUCCAACAUUAUUUUCAAACUUGAUCUAUGCAGACUAUAAAUCUUUUUAUUUCAAAAAAAAAGGUUACUUCUAAUUCUAGUCCUCUCACACAUGACCUAUGAUCCUGUCUACACCAAUCAUCAGCAUCUGAAAUGGACCAAAAGAAACAAUAGUAAGCUAAAAAGCCUAAUAAGUCAUCUCUAUUUCUAGUUCAAUUAAGCAUAAUUUGUAUAGAAUAUCAAUGCUCACAAUAUAGAAUUUUGGUUUUAAAAUAAAUGCAUACUAAAGAAUAUAAAAUAUAUAUAUCUAGAAUAUUCAGUACAUCUAUUUAAAACAUAAAAUUUUGAAUCAAUGUAUUCAACUAUUUAUACUCACUUCUAACCUUUACGACUAUGGCCAUGAUUAGCUGGUGGCAAUUUUCAAAGGAGACUAAAUCCUAACUACAGCAUAUCAUACAUCAGCAUAUAUAGGGCUGAAAUCAAAUCGAAUACUAGCAUAUCGAUAUCCAUAUUUAUUUUGUCUAUGAAUACAAAUAUGGAUACAGAUAUUAUUCGGAUGUAAAAAUUUAUAUCUAUAUUUAUUUUAAAUAAAUACACAUACAACUCAUAUACCAGAAGUAUGGAUAUAAUUAUGGAUAUAAGUUAGAUAAUUAAAUUUUAUAACUACAUAAUUAAGAAAAUAUUACUAAAUAGAUAAUAAAUUAAGUUAAUAACAUGUUUAUAUGAUUAUAUAUUUUUUAAAAAAAUUAAUAAGUACUAUAUAAAAUUAUAUAGGAUUACAUAUAGAUUUGGAUAUUUGAAUACGGAUCGGAUAGUUAUCUAUCCAUAUCCAUAUCUAUUUUUCUUUGAUGAGUAUAGAUAUUGAUAUGGAUAUUACUUGAAUUCUCAAAUUUUUGUUCAUACGUAUUUAGAUUAAUUCGGAUAUGAAAAUGGAUCCGCACGGAUAUUAUCCACCACACUUUCACCCCUAUCAAUAUGUAUGUGAUCACCCCACUAAAAAUCUAAAAAGAAAAUUGACUUUAAAAUCAAACAUGUACUAAUGAUUGCCCCACCUGCAUAAUCUUAAAAGAAACUAACUUCUGAUUAUAACAUACUAUCAAACAGCAUAUGUUAGUGAUUGCCCCACUGAAAACUCAAAAGGAGACCAGAUCCUAAAUUGCAAGAUCAUAAUCGAACUAGAGAAGAUAUACAUCACAACCAAUAAAAUUGACAAAGUUCUAAUGAAGUAGAAUUGUGGUUCAUGCCAUGAAAUUUAUUUCAUGCUUAAUCUAAUAAUGCAAGAGUGCAAAGCAUCCAUAACAUCAAUUACAAAUAUACAUAAAUAUUAUUCAUAAUUAAGUUUCAAUACUUAGAUUAAUAUUCGUAUGUUGAGUCAUGAGUUAUAAAACAAUUCACUUGCAUGAUCAAAUACUGGGAUAGAGGUACAUUCAAUCACAUUGUAAGACGUAGAAAUUUCCUCAAAGAUUCUACGCAUGAUUUAGACAAACACUAUUGAUGAUUAGUUUUCCUCUAAAGAAGCACAUAUACUAUUUAGAGUCAUGGGCACAUGAACGUUUCCGAGUAUGUGGUGCCCAUCCUAGGUUCCAUAAUAUAUAACUCUUCCAAAUCAGGGGUCAUGAUCCUAGAUCUCAGACUGGUGGCUAGAUUCGAAUGCCUACACCAAAUCUAGAUCUAGCUCUCGCUCUCAGGGUGACAUCCAUGCCCCACUACAAGGACAAUGGAAACAAGGGAGGGUGCAAUUAUCUUGGUGGUGAGAUCUACCCCCAGAACUUAGAUCUACCCCCAGAACUUGACGUGCCUCCAAGAUUGGAUGCUUUGUGCUGUCCUGUGAAAACAAGUAAAUCCCAAUUAGAGAAGGAGAGAACGAUAGAGAGGUAGAAAGGGAAUGGUAAAAGGGUCAUAUAAGUGGAGAUAUAGUGAAUUAAGGAGCCUCCCUCCCUAUUCAAUGUGCAGAGACUACCAAAUUCAUGAAAUGAAUUUGGCAGACAGAGAUUUAAAUUUUAAUUUUCUUCUCUAUCCCAUGACAUUUAAAGACUACAGGAGACGAACUCUGAGUUAUUUAAUCUAUUUGAAUGUGCGCAUUUCAUUCGAUGAAUCAUUUUUUAAGAAAAACUAGGAUGGUCGAAAUCAAAUGUGGGAAAGACUCAAAUCCAGAUCAUUGGCGUCCGCUAAUUCACCAACUGCACUACAGUUGAGUACAAGUAAUUAUGAAAAAGGUUCUCUAUAUCAACUUCCUCUAUCAUGCUCCUGGAUGAACGUACCUCAUGAUCAAACCACGUCAACAAGUGACAAUUUUUUAAAAACAUUAAAUUUAUUAUAACUUCCUUCUUUUUCCUAGAUGGUUGAAGAACGUUUGGCCAAUUUUUAGUUCAAUGAUGUUUGGAUUUCCAAGUUAAUGCCUUCGCUUAAUUUUACAUCAGAAUGAAAAGAUCCUUCAUCCAAACAUAUUUGAAAAGCAGUACAAAGUUGAUGUGCAUAUUACUACCAUGGAACACAUCAAUGAUCGAUAGAGAACAUGGUACAUUCAAGAGUAAUGAAACUUCUAAAAAUGAUGAAAAAGGCUGAAUUGUUUAACAUAGUAUCGGUCUAUGUUCAUAGUUUCAUGUUUGGAUCCUCUAUACAUGGUGAAAGUUUUGAACGACAAAGAAGGAUGCAUGCUUGGAUGGACAGCACAUCACCCAUCCUGUAAAUGGAUGGCUCUGGUGCCCAUCUUUCCCUGGUUCCAAACAAGGUUGGCAUCCAAUCUAUGACGGGAGUUCCAAACAAGAAGGGAUUUGAAAGAUGGGCUACAACUGUCCAACUUCGAGAUAAGCGACAUAUCGCCUAUGGAAGCAUGCACUUUUUCUGUGGUGCAAGAUAUGCACUGUAGAGGAUCCUGACUCCGCUUCCAUCAUCUUUGUCAUCAACUUUGUGGUUGAAGAGGCCACAUUGUAGCUAUACCUCUGAGGAUUUGGAUUCUCUUUCUAGCUUAAUCAAUCAGUAAUGUACCUCUCUCACUGAUCCACACCAUAUGAGGAUCGGACCACAAAAUAGGAAGAAAGUGUUUGGUGCUGCCUCUUAUCAAUCAGCAUUAUUUAGGUGCUGUCGGAGGAUUUAACGUGCAUGAAGAGUGAAGCACGUUGAAAUCAUCGAUCAACACAUGAUUCUUCCAUGAUGAAUCUAAAAUCUUAGCUAAUGCUGAGCCAAGCAUCCUUGGUCACAUACUAAUUUGUUUAUCAAAAUUACUGGAGACAACUAUCUAGGGAGUCCAAUUACUAGGAUGCAAAUUACCCCUCGGACACUCUCUCUGUACCAUGUAUCUCCUAUCUACACAGCAGAUUGCAACCUUCUUCACGAAGUGGCAUUCCAUGGAAAAAAUUUCCCUUCUCCUUGGCAAACUCCCAAUGAACAAUCCACCAUGAGUUUGAGAAGGGUGUUAAUGUACAUAUGUAGUCUUUAUAUCAUAUAUUCGUGGUACUCUAACCAUGGUGGUGAUUAUUUGCUUGUGUGUUUAUAUUUACCUUGAUCCACAUCUGAGUAAGCAUGUCAUCGUGUGUACUCUCACUUUGUCCAAAAGAAUGUGAUUAAUCAUAUCUUGAAAUCAUAUUCAGAUAUAAAUGAAGAACUUGCAUUCUCAGAAACAAGAUUUCAUCUAUUCAAAUCUCUAGUGGCUUUGCAAACAUGGAACUAUAACUUAAGCUACAGAAACACAAAUUUCAAAUCUUUAGCAUAUCUCAUGGUCCAAUAUUGUUUCCCGUGUGUUUCAACCCUUAAAGAAAUACCAUUCUCUGGUAAACAUGAUCUUCCACGCCAACCAUCCAAUAGAUAACAAAAACAAAGAAAGAAGCACAUGCAUAAUAAACCGGAAAAUAGAAAACUCAUUUUAUCAAAUAUAUUUCAAAUAAUUUGGAUUGAUGUAACCAUAUGUACCCAUCAAAUUAAUGCUGUUUCCUGAUAAAUAAGCUACAUGCAUCUCAUGCACACAGCACUGGUGUUCACAAUUAAAAUCCCUUUUCUUUUGGGUCCAGGGAGGUGACAAUAUAACAGGACCCAUCGUCACGCCAUUGUUUGCAUGGAUCUUUGCAAGUAGGAAGAUAGUUAGGUGCAAGGUUGCUGUCAAAAUUAUAGAGGGUAAUUAAUUGACAAUAAAACAUAGAAGGACAACAGCGUAGGGGUCCAGGAAUCUCCACAAGACUCCAAAAGCAGCAUGUUAUGAACAAUCUCGUGAGUUAAUUUCCUGUUGGCCACUGUCAGUGUAGCGGGAAUUAGUACGAAAACCUGGCCUGUCUCGCCAAGUCAUAAAGAAGGCCUAGACCCUAUCUUCUUCUUUUGUUGUUAGUCCAGCCUUUCUUCAAAUGGCUCUAUCGCUUUUUGUGGGACUUCAAAUGGCUUUUUCUGGCGCCUGAAUGCCUAUACCUUUCCAGAAAGCAAAAGAAAAGAUGGAUCCUUUUCAACCAAUCAAUGUUAACCAUGUGCUUGUGACCAGACUUCAUAAAAUCUACCAUGGGAUUUGAUCAUUGAAAAGAAUUUCAAUCAUCCAAAAUUGUUGGGACAAGAAUUUAUUACUUAUCCAUGGACUUAGCCACCACCUAUAUAUUUAAUACUUUAAACUCAAUAUACUUUCGUUAGUUGUCUCUGAAUUUAUACACCAAGUGGUCUAAUUAAUUAAUUGCUUUCCAUCACAAUUAUUUCUUAAGUAGCCUUUUUUGAUUAUUGUUUCCAAAUUUCAGAUUUCCAUUCUUUUUUUUUUUUAAUACAGUGCAUAGGAUUGCAUUUGCCAUCACAUGUACAUCAUUAAAGUCGAUCACUCUAUCUUUUUGUUAAUCAAAGAAUUUUUUGCCUGUUAAGAUUGAGCACAGGUCGGAUUCGGUCGAGUUGAGAGAAAAAUUUUAUCCGAUCGAAUCCAAUCGAAUUAAAAAAAAUUCAAUCCUCUAUCAACCGUUUAUCAUGUAUAAAUCGUUUGAAACCGAAGUAAACGAUUUGUAGCAGAUUCGGAUGGAUCAUAUCAGUUUGAACUUCAAUAUUGAUCCAUUGUUGAUUUUAAGUUCAAUAUUGAUCCGCUUCAGCUUAUUUAUUUUUUUUGAUCAAUUUAAUACAAAAAAAGAUCUAAACAUUAUAAGUUAUAAAUUUUAGACUUAUUUUUGAACCUGUACAAAAUAAAAUAAAAUAAGAAGAUUUACUUAUCCAAAAGUAAUUACAUAUGAAAACUUUCAUUUUAGAAUUGUCUCAAAUUAAUGUGCUUCCAUCAAUAAUUCAACAUUAAUAUUCUCAUAAAUCCAAAUAGAUAACAGGAUGGUUUUUAGAAUGAAGUAUUGAAGUCUAAAUGACAGCGUCCCAAAAUGAAAAUGAGUUUGUGAAAUACUACAUCGGUUAGGUUUGAUUUCAAAUAGGUUAAAAAUGUAAGAACCAAAACUGAUCGUAAAUAAUUCAUUUUUUAUGAACUCCAAUUCGAUUUAUAUCUUUCUACUGACCAAAACCAAUGUUUAUUAGGUCGGAUUGGAUGGGUUUCUUUAAGUUUCGAUUAUUUGCUCAGCCCUACUGCCCGUCCUCAACAACUCCAACUCAAUCUGUUGGUACCCACAAAAUAGAUUUCCUUCUCAUGUGGAAUAUUAUACACGAAGAAUGUGUUAGUUAACAUCCAAUUAGCAGAUGCAAGCUUAGCAACAUGUCUGGCAUAUAUGUUUCUUGUAACAUAGGAUCGAUGGAGUAGUUGCAGACAAAAGCCAAUUUAAAUGUGGAGAUCUAUCAUGCAAUUCAGUCUUGUUAUACAUAGGUGUAAUAAAUUUUGCUCAAGAGAGGAGAAUAAUGUAAUUAUCUGUCAGAUCUAACCCGCUCCCUAUCAUGUAUAAUCGAUUGGGACAUGAUGCUUCAUAUCUUUCAACCAGACAUAACAACUACACAAUGGAUGAGCCAAGUAACAUAGAAUUUGACUAUCAGCCAAUGAAAGUAGAGUCAUUCUAAUCAUCUCAGGUGAUUAGACCAUGAAACCACGGUCACACUUUUGGACAACCUUAUCAUUCAGCUGAAAUUACAAAUUAUCAAUCCACUGGUCAUUAUUGUCACUGGUAAUAUGUCUCCUACAUCAUUCAAAGUAAUCACUGUAGUUGAACGCUACCUUUGCCUGGUUUGAUGUGUGUGAAGAUAGUGCUAACGUUAGAGUAACCAACAAGAUUAAGGUCCUUGUCCUGCAACCAACCAUGGUGACCAAGUUAUACUAACAAAUAUGCACGUGCUAAUAUAGAGGUAAAAUGAGUACGGCAAACUUAGAGCUUAGAUGCAGAUGUGCAUGGUUGAUUACAGUGGAAUCAUGUAAGAAUCUGCUCCUACCCAGCCAAAAAAAAAGUAAGGACCUAGAAAAAGCCAAAAGCCGGUUGGAUAAUAUCAACUCGUUGAUUUAGAAGUCUUCAACUUAACAGCAAGCUUGUGGUGUCGCUACUCCAAUUCAGCAAUAAAACCAAAUAUAUGAUGACACCCAUUUUAUGACGGUAUUCCAAUCAGUAGAUACACCAGAAAUCGGUCAAUUAAAACAAACAGGUUGUCCUGGCUGAUAUUAGUCUCACUCACCAUAAAAAGAUCAUGAACCAUAAGAAUGGUCAGAAGGGAACAGAAUGGGUGAGCACCAAGGAGAAGAAUGCAGGAUCUAUUUAUAGAGCAAAAGAGUGCUUUAUCAGAAGAUAAAUCAAGAUUUCUAUAAAUUCAGAAGGCAAAGCUGGAUAUUUAUAGGUGUGAAAGAUCCUUUAAGCAAUAUGUGGGUCGUUUCAGCACAUGAGAGUAUUCCAUAAAAGAAAGCAUGGCAAAAAAAUUGAGCUCAAGGAAAACAAAAAAGAUAUGAGCACAUCACUAAAGAAGAAUAAUAAUCGGUAUGUAAAUUGAGAUCAUGACUUCGCAAAUACCGACGGAAUGAUAACAGACAUCCCAUCAGCCUAUUGUUCAUCAGCUAACGAGAUAUAGGAUAUUGUUUUACACAACAUCUUGAUCCAAGAGGAUUAUAUGCCAGAUUCCAUGUGGACAAUUUUUACCAUUAUAAGUAAGACUGGAUAAGAUCCACAAGUGAGGACUGCUAUAUUAAGAAGCUGAAUCAUAUGCCACAGUUAUAGAAGUCAUAAUUUAAUCAUACGAUAUCCGAUUGAAAAGAUAUUCUACUAUAAAUUGGAUAUCGAUAUUUCACUGUUUAGGUCCACAACAGACCGAUCAAAUUAAAAAAUUACUUUUUGAAAAGAAUUUUGAUCAAGUAUAUUUCUCAAUCUAAAAAAAUUAGAUAAAAUGAUAGAAAGUAGUGUUGAUGCACGAAUCAAGAUCUACCUCCCGUGAGAUUUUUUUAUAUAUAUAUUUAAUUUAUUUUUGCUACUCAUGUGUAUCUUUGGAAAGCUAGUCCUAUUCAAAUUUGGAGAGGAAUUUGAGCAAGAUCAUGAAAAGAAAACCUCACCAUUAUUAUAAAUAGAGUUUAUGUAACUCAACUUUUGAUCAUCAAUUGAUUACCAAUAGAAAAAAGAAAUCUUAAACCUUAACUCCACCAUUUUUUCUAUCUUUUCUGGAUUUCUAUUAAGAGAUUCGAGUUAGGAGGGUUAAAGAAAUUCUUUCUUCUCUUUUAUCGGAUCAACUUGAUAUCAGAGCUUCAAUCCUCAAUACCUAUAGAAGCCUUAGUUGGCCAAGAUAUAUGAGUAACAUAAGCAAACAAGAGAAUGGCUAUCCAUGCCUGAAAUACAAUCUAAGACAAAGAUGAGUAUGCCUGUUAAUUCCAUCCGAAUGGAUGAUAAGAUAAAUGAACGUCUCCCAUAACUAGAGAAAAAAUUACCUAGCUCACUAAGAUCAUCGAUCAGUUGGUGAUAUCCUUAAUACAAGCAUUACCAACUUUUAUAUAUAGCAAAGCUAUCUCCCAUAUCUAGUGAUGAGAAUUUACCAUCUAGCAAAGAAGACCAAAAACAAAAACCAUCUCCAAGCAAAACUAAAUGGUUUAGCCAUGAGGAAGGGAAGCAAGUAUUUUUCCAUCUUCAGUUCUAAUACAGUAAAAGCUAAAUCCCUUAAAUAAGAAGAGCCUUGAUCCAAAAGAAUCACCAAAUUCGAAAUGGAUAACUUUGGGUAGCUACAAGUAGGUUGUAUAGAGCCAAGGAGUAGGAUCAAUCAUAUAAAGAUAUUGAAUAAUAUGCCAAACUUCUAAAAACCUUGAUCACAUGAUGCUCGAUUGAAAUGAUAUUUUUGUCGAAUUGAAUAACUUUUUGAGAUUUAUGAUAUAGCACCAACCGUCCCAGAGGUUAAAAUGAUUCAAAAUUCCAUCAUUUGGAAUAUGAAAUCAGCCAAUCAAACUAAUAAUUUCUUUUUUGGGGAUGACUUUGAUCAAAUGUUUCUUCCAAUUUAAGAAGAAAUAGGAGAAGCAACAGAAGAUAAAAUUGAUAUAGGAAAUAAGACCUAUCUUUUAUAGAAUUUUAAUCUGUUUUCAUUUUUAUUAUGUUAGUUAGAUUUAUUUUUGAAAAGCUGGUUUCAUUCAAACUACAAGAGCAAUCUGACCAAGAUUGUGAAAGGUAGACCUCAUCAUUAUUAUAAAUAAAGACUAAGUAUCUCAGUUUUUGAAUGAUCAAUUGAUCAUCAAUGAAAGAAACUAUGACUUAAAUGCCACUUUUGCCAAUUUUUUCACUUUUUUUUUCCUAAAUCUUUUGAGAAAUUUGAGUUGAUUAGGAUAAGGAAAUUCUUUUUGCUCCCAAUCGAAUCAUAUUUCAACAAUCUAGCUAAUGGCCAAAAGCAAGAGCCAUAUAGAUUAAGUUAUAUGAAAAUAGAGAAGAUAAAAAUCACAUGAACCUGGCUGGACUAGAGAGAAUUUGACCAUGAUAAAUUCUUCCAAGUGUGGGUAUGGAUUGAUGGACAAGACUUCAAUCGAAAGUAGGCCAAAAGUCUAAAAUUUAACCAUGAUCAACUACAGUACAUAAAAAUAUGCACAUAUAAUUGAAGGAGGCUUUGAGAGGGUCCAUAUAGAAUUGUAUCUUAUAUCGAAAUAUGUGAUUAUCAACUUUAUAGCUGCAAAAUAACCACGCUAACGAACGUAAAUAGUGGAAGAUAAUUGGUAUCAGUUACUAAAAUCGAUCAACAAGAGUGGAGGCCAGAUGUGGAAGCAACCGUCAGAGUAUAUAGUUAUAUCUAUUGGAAUAAAUAAGCAAACAUAUUACCUUGUAAGGAUCCUUGGGCAAUGGAUAUAAUGCAUCUUCAUCUUAUUAGUUUUACUCUAUAUUUUAUCCUACGAGUAGGCAUAGCUUAAAUUUCUAUAAUAGUCUAAUGUUAGACCUUAUCCUAGCCUAGCGCUAUAUCGCUUUCUCAUAAUAUAAUACUAUACAUUUUGUCUGCCGAAUGGUUGUGUGAUGGUGAUUAAAAUCCUUAAAGAUCAAGGCAUCUAGACUCAUGCUAAUCUCUAUCCUCCCUUCAAUCACUUUCUGACUAAUCAAACAUCGCCAACAUGCCCGCAUGCAUUAAUUCUCACCAUGUGGCUUCAUCACUCUCCUCUACCACACUCAGAUGGGACUCCAAUAGUGGGCCCUGUGACACGUCCGAAUGGAAUGGAAACAGCACCACUAGGGACUAAUUUGAACCUUUUAAGAAUUUGAAGUUGAAGUAUUUCUUGUCCAAACUUGAAGAAAUAUCUCUGUAAUUUCUCCAAAAAUCUACCAUAAGAUUUGAUCAUUGAAAAGAAUUUCAAUUAUUGAAUAUUUUUGAUUAAGAAUUUAUAGUUACAACUUAUUUAUGAAAUUAGCCACUACUGAUAUAUUUAAAUUUAAACUUAAUAGCUGUUUAUAUUACAAAUCAUUCAUUAGUUGUCUCUAAUUUUAUAUUCCAAGUGGUCUAAUUGCUUUUCUUUAUAAAUAUUUCCUAAGUAGCCUUUUUCAAUUGUUGUUUUCAAAUAUGAGAUUUCUCUCCUUUUCUUUUUACAAUACAACACAUAGAAUUGUGUUUACCAGCACAUGUACAUCAUUAAAGUAGAUUGAUCCAUUUCUUAUUUAAUCAUGAAAAGGAAUUCCUGUCCCUUUCCUCAAUAACUUUAUCAACUAAACCGGCCAAUACACACAAAAUAGAUCUCCUUAAUUAUGUUGUAGUAAAGAGUGUGUUGGUUAACAUCCACAUAGCAAAUGCUAGCUUAGCAAAUGUUUGGCAAAUAUCUUGUUACAUAAUAUGGACCAGUUGCAGACAUAUACCGAUUUAAAUAUGGAGAUGUGUCAUGCAACCAAGCCUUAUCACAUAUAGGUAUAAUAAAUUUUGCUCAAGAUAUUGUUAGAUGUAUGUCCUACAAGCCAGAUUAGCUGACACAUACAUUUUCUGGGACAUAAUUUUGUAAUUAAAUUUUUAAAAUUAAUAAAAUUAGAUUAUUUUAUUCAUUCAUGUUAUGUGUAUUUUUGUAUCCAUAAAUCAUCCAAAGAGUUGAUCUGACAAUGAUACGUAUUCUCAAGAGUUGAGAAUUUGAGACACAUAUCAUUUGGGAUCAAUUCUUAAAUACUUUCGAUCAAUGGAUCAUCACGGAGAUGAUGAAUAAUCCAGAUAGAUUGAUGUACAGAUCACUUUCCUUCUUGGGUAGACGAGUCUCGAGUCUAUAGUAUGGAGAUGCUGGAGUGAGAGUGCAAAUGCUUGAUAGAGAUCAAGGGUACUGAGCAUGACCAACACGAGAAGUCACUUGGACGGCUAUCCACUCAUCAGUGAUUUAUUCGAUAUUGCAGUUGUGUAGAUAGUUCUUUGACCUGUGGUAUCUCGACUGUUUAUAAUGAGCUUACUAUAGUUUGACUGUACAAUCACUUGGUUACCUAGCCAAUCGAAAUCUUAUAAUGUAUGUUGAUUAUAGUAAGUCCAUUAUAGAAAUAGGGUGUGACCAAGAUAGGAUCUGUCGAUCCUGAUAGAUAGGAAGAGAUUCUAUAUAGUUCAUGAGACUGAGUCCUAAAAUUUAUGACCAUGAUAGGUGAAUAAUGAAAAGGAGCUUUCAUAAGAUUUCAUAUAGACUCGAGUCGAUUGAAUCUGCUAUAUGACAGAUGAAUAGAUUUGAUGAGUUAUUCUUGACCUGCAUCUUGUCGAGACUCAUGAUAGAAGAAUCGAACUACACGGUAACUAUACCUAAAGGUUCAAUAUUGCAUUCUAUUAGAUUACCAUUAUAUACUGCUAGGUGCCACUGGUAGAUUGUAAGACUCAUGACUGUCAUCUUGAUGAUCGAUGAUCUUUGAUAGACAGAGUUGGAAUCGUUUCAAUCUGUCAAAAAAAAGUUUUGAUGAUAUUAUGAUAGGGAUUACAGUAUAUCUCAUUAUCAGAUAGAAUAUAAUCUAUGAGUUCACAUAAAAGAGAUCUUUAUCUGAUCAGAUGGUUGAUCUAUGAUUAUGAAUCACAGAAGAAUCUAAUUGUCAAUAUGAUUGAUGAUUGAUCAAAUGCAAUUAUUGUAAUUGUCAAACUUACUAAGAGUUAGUAAAUUGUAGGAGGAUUAAUUAAUAAUUGGAUUGCUAAUUGACUCAAUUUAAUCGAACAAUUAGGCUAGGAUCAAGUCUAAUUGAAUUAGAUUCAAUUUAACUUGAUUUGGAUUUAAUAGUUCAAGCCUGAUUAAGUUAUGAGAUAAUCCAAUUGCAAGAGAGACCAAUUUCUGAUUUGAUCAGAAUUUGGGUUCAACUAAUUUCUAAUUAGAUUAAGAUUUUAUUAAAGAGAUUGAGCUCUUAAUCAGAUUAGGUUUUCUAUUCUUCCUGUGUGCAACCAAAUCAGAUUUGGUUGGAACCAAAAUUAAUCAAUUUUGAGAGACCUAGUUGGACUAAGAUUCCCCUUGCACCACACCCCUAAGUCCACACCAAUAAUCCUUACACAAAUCUGAUUUUUGCAUGUGGUUUCUCCACGCCAAAAUGCAUUGCCACCCCUUCCUAUCUCACACCCAAUGAUUGGAUAAAAUCAAUUUGAAUUUGAGUUCAAAUUCUGAUUUGAAUUCAAGUUCAAACCUGAUAAGGAUUCUCCUUAUCUUGAUAGAGUUUGAACUUAUCCAAAACUCCUUAGAUGCCAAGCAUAAAAGGGACUUUUCUUUUGUGCAUUAAACCAAAAUUUCACCAUGGAAAAUUCUAGUUUUGUGUGUGAGAUCCUUGUGGGCAUGAGUUUGGUGAGGGCGAGUUCCAUCUUGGGUGUAGAUGUCCUAGGGUUUAGAUCUUAGGAGUUGGGAUUUGUGAGAGAAAAGAGAAAGAGUUCUCUACUUCCUCCACAUCUUCUUCCUCCAAGUUCUCCUUCAUCUCUGAGAGGGUCUGAGAGUUCAGAAGGAGAUGUUCAAUCAACCAUCAGGAGGUGGAUUCUACAAGGACGCUAGCAACCCGAUGAAGCAACGGACCUCUUAUCGAAUUCUACAAUAUCGGAUCUUAAAGAAUGUAGAAGGUUGAGGCUAGGAGAGAUAACCCUACGAGUAGGUAACAGCGCAAGAGUUGCUACUGCUGCUGUAGGAAUCUAUCCUCUUUGACUACCAUCUGAUUUUUAUCUAGAAUUAAAAGACUGUUAUUUUGUACCUGCUGCUAGCAAAAAUUUGAUUUCUGUUUCAAACUUAGCACUAGAUGACUAUGAAAUUAGUUUCAAUAAGGAUCAUUGUAUCAUUUAUUUUAAAAAUAAAAUGGUUGGAUGUGGUCACUUAAUUAAUAACCACUAUCAUUUGCAUAUCGAUGCAGAUGAAUCAGUUAAUCUAUUCGAGCAAAUAGUAAGUGCCGUUGGGUCUAAAAGAUCCAGAGAUGAGAUUAACCUAAAGUAUAUGUGGCAUCUUAGGCUAGAUCAUAUUAGAAAAGAAAAGAUUAACAGACUGGUGAAAGGUCUUUUAGACUCAUUCUCGGAUGAGUCGUAUCCAAUCUGUGAAUCCUACCUUCAAGAAAAAAUGAUCAAGCUAUCCUUUGUAGGACAUAAAGAAAGGAUCACUGAGGUACUUACUCUGAUAUAUACAGAUAUGUGUGGUCUAUUUGAUGUACUGGUCAGAGGAGGUUAUCUCUACUUCAUCAUUUUUAUCAAUGAUUUUUCAUGAUAUGAGUAUGUGUUUCUUAUGAGACACAAAUCUGAAGUCUUUGAAAGUUUCAAAGAAUUCAGAUCUGAGGUAAAAAAGCAAACUGAAAAACUACUUAAGGUACUUCGAUCAAAUCGAGAAAAAAAAUAUCUGAGCAAAAAAUUUUUCGAUUAUCUCAAAGAAAAUGGUAUAGUCUCUCAAUGGACUCUACCUAGAAUGCUUUAGCUCAACAAAAUUUUAGAACAGAGAAAUCGGAUCCUAUUAGAUAUGAUUCGAUUCAUGAUGAGCUUCAUUAAUCUUUCUCUAUUUCUUCAGGACAUACCUUGCUAACAGUCAAUUACUUAAUUAAUCAAAUUUUUUCUAAGUCUAUUUCUACCACACCAUAUGAGAUAUGGCAUGGUAAGAAAUCAAAUUUUGGUCACCUCAUAAUUCGGGGAUAUCCGACCCAUAUCAAACGACAAUAGAUGGAUAAGUUAGAGAGGAGGUCUAUGAGAGCUCGUUUCAUAGGAUACCCAAAAGAGUCUUUAGGAUACUCUUUUUAUCUUUCAGAGGAUCAAAAUAUGAUUGUAAGCUGGUAUGCCAUAUUCUUGAAAAAAAAUUUAUCCAAGAUGGAGAUAAUGAGAGAAAAAAUUGAGCUCGAAGAGAGUGUCUCUGAAGAGCAAUGAGUCAUAGANNNNNNNNNNNNNNNNNNNNAAGAUGGAGAUAAUGAGAGAAAAAUUGAGCUCGAAGAGAGUGUCUCUGAAGAGCAAUGAGUCAUAGAAUCUAAGAAAUCCAUUCCAUCUCGUAGAUCCAUUAGGAUCUCACAUCUCCCUGAAAGGUAUGUCGGUAUACUGACAGAGGAUGUAAACAAAAUAUUCCUCAUGGGUGAUAUGGAUCAUGUUGAUGAUCCUAAAAUUUAUGAUGAGGUGAUGCCAAAUAUCGACUCCAAAAAAAUAAGCAAUGAGAUCAGAUAUUGACUCGAUGCACACCAACCAAAUCUAGAUCUUAGUAUAUCACCAGAAAGAAUAGUUCCUAUUAGAUGUAACUGGAUCUUUAAGAGAAAGAUCGGUUCAGAUGGAAAGGUGGAGAUCUUUAAAGCUGGACUUAUGGCUAAAGGUUAUAGUCAGCGUGAAGGCAUUAAUUAUCAGAAGACCUUCUUGCUAGUUGCCGUACUAAAAUCCAUUCGAACACUGCUUGCUGUUGCAGCGGCUUAUGACUAUAAGAUUUGACAGAUGGAUGUGAAAACUAUCUUUCUGAAUAGAUAUCUUGAGGAAGAUAUCUAUAUGGAGCAAUUUUUGAAUUUCACGUCCAGUGAUCAAGAUCAUAAGGUCUACAAGCUACAAAGAUCCAUUUAUGGACUAAAGCAAGCAUCUCGUAGUUGAAAUACUCAUUUUAAUGAUGCAAUCAAAUUAUUUGAUUUCAUAAAAAAUGAGGAGCAAUCGUGUAUUUUUAAGAAAGUCAGUGGGAGGGCUGUCACAUUCCUCAUAUUUUACAUGGACAACAUCCUCUUAAUUGGAAAUAACAUUCCCAUGAUGACUUCUAUUAAGUUAUGAUUGUCUAAAGAGUUCUCCACAAAAGAUCUUGAAGAAGUAUCCUAUAUUCUGGAAAUAAAGGCCUAUAGAGAUAGAUCUAGAAGGAUGCUUUAUCUUUCAUAGUAGCUGUACAUAGAGAAAGUGCUGAAGCGGUUUAGUAUGAAAAACUCCAAGAGGGAUCUAUUAUCCUUCAGGCAUGGAGUUCAUCUCUCCAAAAAAAUGUGCCCUAGCACACUUGAGGAGAUUCAAUGUAUGAGCAAGAUCUCUUAUUCUCCUACUAUAGAGAGCCUCAUGUAUGCUAUGCUAUGUACUCGACCUGAUAUUUUUCUUGCUGUGAGUGUCAUAAGCAGAUAUCAGUCGAAUUCAAGGGAGAAAUACUGGAUUGCUAUGAAGAAUAUCCUUAAGAACUUAAAAAAGAUUAAGGAUCUAUUCUUGAUCUUUGAAGGAGGAGACUUGCGGAUGCAGGGAUACACUGACUCAUACUUCAUGUCUAACAUUGAUAAUAAAAAGUCUACAUCAGAUUUUAUAUUUUUGUGUAACGAUGGUGCGGUUAGAUAGAAGAGUUCCAAGCAAUCGAUCAUUGCAGAUUCUACCAUUACACCAGAGUAUAUCGCUGCGUCGGAGGCUGUUAAUGAAGGAUUCUGAUUUAAGAAGUUCAUUACAAAGCUAGAUGUGAUACCAUCAGAUAUCGUUCCAUUCUUCUACAAUAAUAAUGUGCCAUAGCAUUCGCUAAGGAAUCAAGAUUUCAUCAGAAGUCUAAGCACUUCGAGCAAUGAUUCUAUUUGAUUCACGAAUACCUCGAGAAAAAGUUUAUCAAAGUACAGAGAGUCGACUCCAUAGAUAAUGUGGCUGAUCCACUAAUCAAACUGCUAAGCCAAUAGAAGAUUAAAGCUCAUCUUGAAAAGAUGGGGCUUAAGCUUAUGGCCAAUUAACUUUAGAUCAAGUGUGAGAUUAUUAGAUGUAUGUCCUAGAAGUCAAAUUAACUAACACAUGUAUACUUUUUAGGACAUAAUUUUAUAAUUAAAUUUUUAAAAUAAAUAAAAUUAGAUUAUUUUUUUCAUUCAUGUUAUGUGUAUUUUUGUGUCCAUGAAUCAUCCGAGAAGUUGACAUGACAAUGACAUAUAUUCUUAAAAGUUAAAAAUUUGACACACAUGUCAUUUUGGAUCAAUUUCUAAAUACUUUCGAUCGAUGGAUCAUCAUGGAGAUGGUGAAUAAUCUAGAUAGACUAAUGCACAGAUCGCUUCUCUUCUUGGAUAGACGAGUUUAGCUCAAGUCUACAGUGUAAAGAUACUAGAGUGAAAGUGCAGGUGCUUGAUAGAGAUGAAAAGUACUAAGCAUGACCAGCACAAGAAGUCACUUAAACAGCUAUCCACUCAUCAAUAACUUACUUAAUGUUACAGUUGUAUAAAUAGUUUUUUGACCUAUAGUACCUCGACUGUUCAUAGUGAGGUUGAUGUAGUUUGAUUACGCAUUAAUCACUUGAUCAUCUAGCUAUUCAAAAUCUUGCAGUGUAUGUUACUACAGUAGAUCUAUUGUAGGAAUAAGGUGUACAAUAAGAUGGGAUCUGUUGAUCUUGAUAGAUAAAAAAAGAUCCUAUACAAUUUAUGAGACUAAAUUCUAAAAUCUAUGACUAUGAUAGAUGAAUGAUGAAAAAGAGUUUCUAUAAGAUUUUACAUGGACUCGAGUCGAUUGAAUCUGACAUAUGAUGGAUGAACGGAUUUGAUGAGUUAUUCUUAACCUGCAUCUUAUCAGAACUCACGACAGAAGAAUCAAAGUAUAUGAUAACUGCACCUAGAGAUUUAAUAUUUCAUUCUGUUGGCUUGCCACUAGAUACUGCUUGAUAUCACUGAUGGAUUGCGAGACUUGUCGAGUAUCAUCUUGAUGAUCAAUAACUUUUAAUAGAUAGAGUUGAAAUUAUUCCAACCCAUCGAAAGGAGUUUCAAUAAUAUUGUGAUAAGCAUCACAGUAUAUCUUACUAUCAGACAAAAUAGAAUCUAUGAGAUCACACACAAAAGAAGUCUUUAUCCGAUCAAAUGGUUGAUCUAUGAUUAUGAAUCACAGAGGAAUCUAAUUGUCAAUAUGAUUAAUGAUUAAUCAAAUAUAAUUAUUGCAAUUAUCAAAUUUGCUAAGAGUCAGUAAGUUAUAGGAAGAUUAAUUAAUAAUUAAAUUGCUAAUUGGUUCAAUUUGAUUGAGCAAUUGGAAUAGAAUCAAGUCUAAUUGAAUUAGAUUCAAUUUGACUUGGUUUGGAUUUGAUUAGAUCAAGCCUNNNNNNNNNNNNNNNNNNNNNNNNNNNNNNNNNNNNNNNNNNNNNNNNNNNNNNNNNNNNNNNNNNNNNNNNNNNNNNNAUAAUUAAAUUGCUAAUUGGUUCAAUUUGAUUGAGCAAUUGGAAUAGAAUCAAGUCUAAUUGAAUUAGAUUCAAUUUGACUUGGUUUGGAUUUGAUUAGAUCAAGCCUAAUUAAGUUAUGAGAUAACCUAAUUGUAAGGGAGAUCAAUUCUUGAUUUGAUUAGGACUUGGGUUCAAUUAAGUCCAAAUUGGAUUAGAAUUUUAUUAAAGAGAUUGGGCUCCUAAUCAGAUUAGGUUUCCUAUUCCUCCUGUGUGCAACUAAGUCAGAUUUUGUUGGAACCAAAAUUGAAUCACUUCUGAGAGACCUAGUUGGACUAGGAUUCUUCCUUGCACCACACCCUCAAUUCCACGCUAAUAAUCCUCAUGCAAAUCUGGUUUUUGCAUGUGGCUUCUCCAUGCCAAAAUGCAUUGUCGCCCCUUCCUAUCUCACACCCAAGGAUUGGGUAAAAUCAAUUUGAAUUUGAGUUUAAAUUCUGAUUUGAAUUCAAGUUCAAACCUGAUAAGGAUUGUCCUUAUCUUGAUAGAGUUUGAACUCAUCCAAAACUCCUUAAAUGCCAACCAUAAAAGGGACUUUUCUUUUAUGCAUUAAACCAAAAUUUCAUCAUGGAAAAUUUUGGUUUUGUGUGUGAGAUCCUUGUGGGCAUGAGUUUGGUGAGGGCGAGUUCCAUCUUGGGUGUGGAGGUUCUAGGGUUUAGAUCUUAGGCAUUGGGAUUUGUGAGAGAAAAGAAAGAGUUCUCUUUUUUCUCCUCAUCUUCUUCCUCCAAGUCCUUCUUCAUCUCUGAGAGGAUCUGAGAGUUCAGAAGGAGGUGUUCAAUCAACCAUCAGGCGGUGGCUUCUACAAGAAUGCUAGCACUCCGAUAAAGCAAUAGAUCUCUGAUCAGAUUCAAUGGCUUUGUAUAGAUAUCCAUAGAGGCUGGACGUGUAUGCUGCUAAUUGAGAACCUCAAAGUAUACCACGAUCAUAACUAUGGAGAUCAUCAAUCCAAGCAAGGUGAAAUCUCUAAUUUGAUUUUUAAAUUUUAAAAUCUUAAUUUCAGCAUGUGAAUACUCCUGGCUAUUCGUGGAUUAGAUCUAUACUCUGUAUGCAUGCUUGAUUUAAAAAGAUUUUAAAUUUAGAUCACUUUAGUUUCUGCUGCAAUCUGAUUUCUGCAUGCAUAUCCCCGAAGUCGGACUUCUUUUAGGAGAAUAAUGUAAUUAUCUUUGUCAGGUCUAACUCACUUCAUAUCAUGUAUCUAUCUAAAUUUUGAUUCAAUUCGAACACUAUGUCUCAUAUCCUUCAAUUAAACAUAAUAACUACACAAUAGAUGAUCGAGCCAAGUAACAUCUAUAGAAUAUGACCAUUAGCCAAUGAAGGUAUAAUUAUCCUAUUCAUCUUAGUUGAUAAGACCAUAAACCACAAUCACACUUUUAUAUGACCUUAUCAUUUCAGCUAAAAUUCCAAAUUAUCAAUCGAUUGAUCAUCAUUUUCAGUGGUAAUACAUCUCCCCCUACAUUAUUCAAAGUAGUCAUUCAUAGUUGAAGACUACCUUUGCUGAGUUUGAUAGGAUAGUGCUAACAGUGGAGUUUCUAUCAAGGUUAAAGUCUUUAUCAUGCAACUAACUAUGUUGACUAAAUUAUACUAAGAAGAUAAAAUUACAAAUGUAGAGAUAGAAUGAUUGUAGCAAUCUUAGAGCUUACAUGUGGAUGUAUUUCAUAAGAGGAAAAAUAUUCAAGAAUCCACUCACAGGAGCUCAAAAAAAAUAAAGGCUCAAGAAAAGCCAAAGAUCAAUUGAAAAAAAAUAUAGACUUACUGAUUUGGAAGCCCUCAACCAAGCAGCAAGCUGAUGGUUAUGAUAUUCCAAUGUGACAACAAAAUUAAUUAGUGAUAUCACCUUGACUUGUGAUGGUAUUCUGAUUCAACAAAUCCAUCAAAAAUCGAUCAAUUAAAACAAAUGGGCUGCCCCCACUAAUACUCUGUCUCACUCACCAUAAGAAGAUUAAUUAGAAAGCUUAAAGAUAAUUAAGAGGGACGACAAGGGGUGAGCAUCGAGGAGAAAAAUACAAGGUCUAUUUAUAGAGUGGAAGCAUCCUUUAUCAGAAGAUAAAUCAAUAUCCCCAUUAAUGUAGAAGGCCAAGCCAAAUCUUUGAAGAUCCUUUGAGCAAGUUGUGCAUGGGUCAUUUUGGUACACAAUUCCAUGAAAGAAAAGAUAGAAGAAGUAUCAAGCUUAGAAAAAAUAAAAAAGAUAUGAUCAGAUUACCAACUUCAGUAAAAAGAGGAUAAUAAUCAAUCAGCGAAUUGAGAUUAUGACUCCAUAGAUGCCAAGAGGAUAAUGAUAGACAUCCCAUCAACCUCUUGAUCAUCAAUCAAUGAGAUGUGUGGUAUUAUUUAUCCCCCAUCUUGAUAUUAGAGGAUAAUCAAACUCGAUGUGGAUAAUUUUAAACGAUACAAGUCAAAUUAGAUAUAAUUCAAAAGUAAGAUCUACAUAUUAAAAAGUCAAAUCACAUACUAAAUUUGUAGAGGCCAUAACUUAGUGAUUUUUUUUCUAAAUUGGGUAUCAAAAUUCUACCGUUUUCAUGUUAAGAGUUGGUCAAACUUAACAAAUUCUUUUUGAGCAAGAUUUUCACUAAGCAUAUCACUCAAUCCUUGAAGAACUAGGCUAAACGGUAGCAGGCAACAUUGAUAUAGGAGUCGAGAUUUAUCUCCUGUAAAAUUUUAAUUUUUUAUGUUUAAUUUAUUUCUACUAUACUCAUGUAUAUUUUUGGAAAGUUAGUCCCAUUCAAACUUGGAGAGGAAAAUAACCAAGAUUGUGAAAUACAAACCUCACCAUUAUUAUAAAUAGAGGCCAUAUACCUCAAUUUUUGAAUCAUCAAUUGAUCAUCAAUGAAAAAAGAAAACUUAAACCCUACUUUCUCUAUUUUUUCUACCUUUUUCUAAAUUUUUAUUAAAAUAUAUGGGUUAGGAGGGUUGACAGUAUUCUUUCUUUUUUAUAAUCAGAUCAAGUUGGUAUUAGAGCUUCGAUAUUCUACAUCUAUAGAAGCCUUAGUUUAUAGUCCAAAUAUACAAGCAAUAUAACCAAAUGGGAGAAUGGUUAUCCAUGUUUGAAGUGCAUGGAUAGACAAAUGUGAGUAUGGUUGUUCGUUUUAUCUUGGUGGAUGAUGAGAUGAAAGGAUGUCUCCUAUAAACUAUCAGAAAAAAUUAUCAAGCUCAUCGAGAUCAUCACUUGAUGGGCAACACCUUCAGCACAAGCACCAACAACUUCUAUAACAAAGCAAUCUUUCAUAUCUGGAGACGAGAAUCUACUACUAGCAAGGAAGACCAAGAAUAGAAACUAUCUCCAAACAAAACUUCGUGGUUCAGCCAUAAGAUAGGAAAGCAAGUAUUUUUCAUCUUUAGUUCUGAUGUAGCAAAACCUAAAUCCCUAAAUAAGAAGAGUCCUGAUCUAUAAAUAUCAUCAGACUUGAUAUAGACAACUUUGGCUGCUAGAAAUAAGGCUAGAUAGGGUCUAAAGGUGAGAUCCAUUGCAUUAAAAAGUUAAAUCAUAUUUAAACUUUUGAAAAUCAUAACUUGUUCAUAUGAUGUCCGAUUGAGAUAAUUUUUUCAUCAAAUCAGAUAAUUUUUUAAGAUUAGCAUCAAUCCCUUUAGAAGUUGAAAUAGGCCAAAAUUGCACCAUUAGGGCAUCAAGAAAGGCCGAUCAAAUCUUUUUUUUGUUGGGCGGGGGGAGGGGAGGUGGAAUUCGGUUGACCCUAUCUCCCAAUCUAAAAAUAAUUGAGUGAAAUGACAAAAGACAAAAUUGAUGCAAAAGACGAGUUCUACUUCCUAUAGGAUUUAGUUAUUUUUUCAAAUUUAUUUCUAUUAGUCAUAUUUAUUUUUGAAAAUAUAGUCCUAUUCAAACUAGAAAAGAAAUCCAAUCAAGACAAUGAAAGAUAGAUCUCACCAUUAUUAUAAAUGGAUGCUAGGUACCUUGAAUCAUUAAUUGAUGUUCAAGAAACAUAAGGUGACCUAAACCUUACUUUCACCAAUUUUUCUACUUUUUCUUGUAUAUUUCAUUCAAAAUAUUUGAGUUGAUUAGGUUUAGAAAAUUGUUCCUUCUCCCCAAUCAGAUCACAUCUCAAUAAUCUAGCUAGCAAUCAAAAGCAAGUAUAUCAUGGAUUAGAUUUGAUUAAACCAAAGUAUGUGAGAAUUACAUGAUUUUUACUGGAUUGAAGAGAGUUCAACCAUGAUAAAUUUCAACAAGUAUGGAGGUAUAGCUCCUAGGAGAAUAGUUCAGUCAAAAAUAGGCCAAAAGCCUAGAACUUAGCCACGAUCAAAUACAAUAUAUGAAAAUAGGCCGAGAUGACUAAAGCGGUCUCUGAGAUAGUCUGUACAGAACUAUCUUUUAGAAUGAAAAGAUAUAAUUAUCAACUUGAUAGCUAUAAAGCAACUAUGUUGAUAAACAUAUAUAGUUGGGUAUAAUUGGCAUCAAUUAUUAAAACUACCAAAAAUAGGGACAAAUAUUGAAGCAAUUAUUAGAGUAUAUAGUUAUUAUCUAUCAGUAUAAAUACAUAAAAAUUAUACUUUGUAAAGAUCCUUCAAUAAGUAAUCCAAAAAAUCUUUAUCUUAUCAUAGUUUUACUCACAUUUUAUCUUAUAAGUGGACAUAAUUUGAAUUUCUACCAUAGCCUCAUGCUAUGCCUCUACUAUAGCUCCAUGCUAUAUCCCACUAUGCUAACCCAGCACUAUACUUCUUAUCCAUCAAAUAACAACAUGAUAGUGAUGGCAGUCCUUGAUUAAAGAUCAAGUCAUCUAGAGCCAUGCUCCUCUCUACCCUCCUUUCGAUCGCGUUCUAACUGAUCUGACAUUAACAACAUGCAUGCACACACCAACUCUUGCCAUCUGACUGUUAUCGCUCUUCUCUACUCCACUUGGAUGGGACUCCACCUAUGGGCUCAAUAACAUAUACAGAUGACAAGGACGAGUGCCACCAUGGACUAAUUGAAAGUUUUAACAAGUUUGAGGUCGAAGUAUUUCUCGUCCAAAUUUAAAGGGGUGUCUCCAUAAUUUUUUAUAAAAUCUACCUUGGCAUUUGAUCAUUGAAAAUAAUUUCAAUCAUCCAAGAUUUUUGGUCAAGAAUUUAUAGUUACAAGUUAUUUAUGGAAUUAGCCACCGUCAAUAUAUUUAAAUUCAAACUCAACAGCUAUUUAUGUUACAAUGUCAUUCUUCCAUUGUCUCUGAUUUUAUCUAGUCUAAUUGAUUAUAAAUAUUUUGAAAGUAUCCUUUUUCAAUUAUUGUUUCCAAAUUUUUUCAGAUUUCUAUCCUUUUGUAUUUAUAAUUAAUGCAAUGCAUAGGAUUGUGUUUACCAUCACAUGUACAUCCAGGGGUGUGCAACCAAAUUCGCUAAACCAAUAUGAAUCACUAAUUUUGGUCAAUUUGGAUCAGAGUUUUAGAUUCGAUUUGAUUUCAGUUUAAAAAUUUUAAAAUUUGAAAAAACUGGUUCGAUUUUGAUUUGAAUUUUGAAAAAAAAAUAGAUUUAAAUCGAAUGACUUAUAUAUAUACACACACACAUAAACACAUAUACAUACAUGCACACACACAUACAUACAUACAUAUAUGUAUGUAUGUACAUAUAUGUGUGUGUGUAUACAUACAUACAUACAUAUAUGUCUGUAUGUAUGUAUGAUAUAUACAUGUAUGUGUAUGCAUAUAUGUAUGUAUGCAUGUGUGUGUAUGUGUGUCUAUAUAUAUAUGAACUAGUUCACUUAUUUUUUGCCCUAGCCACCCCAAGUCCUCCACAUCCCCAAAAUCAAAAAAUACCCUUCUUGGUCAUGCCAUCGUGCCUCCCCUCUCCUCCCAUUCUAUCUAUGUCUGUGGUUGCUCGGGCCUUCUCUCUCCUUUUUCACUCCUAUUCCAUCUCCUACUCUAGCUCUCUCUACCAGCUCUAAUGGCUUGUUCCUCCCCUCUACUCCCACUUUGACUUCUUUCUGAUGCCUCAUGUUUCUUCUCUCUGCCACUCUGACUUCGACUCCAACGACUCAUGCCUCUCCUCUCUUUCUGCUCUGGCUUCUUCUCCGAUGCCUCAUGCCUCCUCUCUCCAUCUGCUCCAACUCCAGCUUCGGUUGUUCAUGCCUCUCCUUAGCUCUGUUUAAUAUAGGAGAAUCAUCGAAUUUAAUGUACAUCACUUUGGCCACUAUGAGUAAGGCCGAACAGGAUCUAAGAGUAAAAUCUACUAUAUUAGGAAGUUAAUUCUUAAGCUAAACUUUUGGAGACCAUAACUUGAUCUUAUAAUGUCUGAUUUUAAUGAUCUUUUUUUAUAAUCGGACAGCUUUUUGAAAUCUAUGAUAUGACACCAUUCUAUUUAUAAGACUAUGCCCUUAACAAUUAGGAUAAAAUUCUUUGUUUGAGUCUCAAAAUAGGUCGGUCAAUCCAAAAAAAAAAAUACAUUUAAGAUUUUGACCGAGCAUAGCUUCUAAUCUAAGAAGAAUUCGAUAGAUUAAUAGAAGGUAGAGUUAAGAUAAAAGUCAAGUUCUACCUCCUGAAGAGCUUUAGUUUUUUUGUAAAUUAUUUCUACUAGACAUAUAUAUUUUAGAUAAAAGAGUCCCUUUGGAAUUAAAAGAAAAAUCCGACCUAGUUUGUGUGAGGAAGAACCUCAUUAGUAUAAAUAGAUGAUGUGUAUCUCAUUUUUAAUUAAUGAAAAAAAUUUAAAAAAAUGGACUUGAUUCCUAUUUUCAAAAAUUCUUCUCUUCUUCUAUUUUUUUCUUUGAGAGUCUGAGUUAAGUGAGUUGAAGAAAAUUUUUCUUCUCCCUGAACGGAUCACUAUUUUUGAUCAGAUCUUGAUUUUUUUUCUUUGUUUGUUUCUUUGAACACCUCUCUCACCAGUGGAUUUAGAUUUGGAAGCUUUUUUAAUUCAAAUUAGAUGUGUUUAUAUCCAAAUUUUGGAUCUGAUUUUAUAUAUAUAUAUAUAUAUAUAUAUAUAUAUAUAUAUAUAUAUAUAUAUAUAUAUAUAUAUAUAUAUAUAUANNNNNNNNNNNNNNNNNNNNUGAUUGGAUUGUGUUUGAUUUGAUAUUGAUAUUUACAUGCAAUUGAAGUGAUGAUGGGUGACUCGUUAAGGGUUUUUCUUCUUUCUCCAACUAUUUUUGUUAAGUGACGAUGGGUGGUCAUCAUUUUCUUCUUCCUGAUUAGUAUAUGCUUCUUUUUCUCAUUCUUCUUACUCCUCACUUUGAUAGAAACCCAUCUAGCAAAGCCCGUUAGCCUAGCUUAUUUAGAAAAAGCUUAUUUAGCCCAGCAGCUUGAUAAAAUUGAGCCAAACUAAAUUGAAUUUUUCGAUUCGCUUUGAACCAAUUUUUCUAGAUAGUCAGUUUGAUUUUGGUUUCAAUUUUAAGGAACCGAUUCAAGUCAAUUUGAUUUCAAAACUCUCAUACCAAUCUGAUAUGAACCAUGCAUACUCCAUCCCUUUCCUCAAUAACUCUCUCAACUAAACUAGUUGAUACACACAAAAUGGAUCUCCUGACCAUGUAGCACACUAUAGAUAAAGAAUGUGUUGGUUAACAUCUAAAUAGCAAAUAUUGCUAGCUUAGCAGCAUGUUUGGCGUGUUUCUCGCAACACUGGAUGGCAUAGUUGCGGACAUAUGCCGGUUUGAAUGCAGAGAUGUGUCAUGCAACCAGGUCUUGUCAUAAAAGGUUGUAACAAAUUCAAUAUAAGAUGGCAGAAAAAAUGUAAUUAUCUUUGUUAGAUCUAACCUACUCCCUGUCAUGUACCUAUCUAAAUUUUGAUUCAAUUCCGACACGAUACCUCAUAUCUCUCAAUCAGACAUGACGACUGCAGAUAAGCCAACAUAGAAUUUGACUAUUAGCCAGUGAAUAUAGCAAUAGUUUAUUCAUCUCCGUUGAUAAGACCACAGUCACACAUCUAUACAACCUUAUCAUUUCAGCUGAAAAUCCAAAUUAUCAAAGGACGGGUCAUCAUUAAUUGUGACGGACGAUACAUCUACUCCUACAUUAUUCACAGCCGUCAUUCGUAAUUGAAGAAUACCUUUGCUUGGUUUGACAAACAUGAACGUAGUGAUAACGUUGCAGUUACCAUCGAGGUUGAAAGGCCUCGUCAUGCAGCGACCCAUGGUGACAAAAUUAUACUAACAAACAUGCACGUAGCCUUUAAUUCAAAGCGGUAGUUUCCGGCUAUUGACUGGAAAAUCAAUAAUGAAAGGGUUCGCAAGUUGCAAAAGCUGUUCUUUGACUUGGGGCCCUUUGAAUAUUAAACUUUUGCUUCCGAAGUUUUAUUUCAUAAUGGUGGUUGGUAAAGGAGAAACUAAUCAAAGAAUUAAAUAAAAAAGGCUACAAGGUACGCCCUCGUUCCGGAUCGCGCGUAGCGGCUUGGAAAUUUGAUAGGCGUUGGGUGGACUAGGAAAAAGUUCGCAGGCAGGGGAGAUUAGGUUGGCAUGCAAGUCAUAUACGUGCUUGAAUCCAUGCAAAAGCCAAUUCAAUGGUCUUUUUUUUUUUUUUUCAUGGUCCAUAUGUCAAAUUGAUAGCAUUUUCAACUCUAAGGCAUGACCAACAUAUUAUAAGAAAAAUAUUAUAGCUGAAUAAGGUACUGAACAUUUUUUUUUUUCUCUUUAUCUUCUCUCCAUGAAAUAAAAAAAAAUCUUACUUAUACCGUUUCCAUGAACCAUAGGGAUGCAGUAAAUACAGUAGUUUAUAAAUAGAAUUUUUUUUGUUUAUUUAUAUUUUAAGAGAAAAUAAGAGACCUAUCUGUACUACAAUUAUUUAGGUCCGAAAUUUUUUAAUGCACCAUCUAGGACUCAAAUCCAGAAUUAUUAGUUGCUAAAUAAAUGGAUCUAAUCAUUAGCAAUACCUAUAAAUUAUUAAAUUUUCACUUCAAUGGACUUUUUUUUUUUUUUUGUAGCCCAUAUGUUUAAUUGCUUUCAGCUUUAACUAGCACGUGCUACAAAUUAUUAACAUUGUAAUUGUCAUUGAUAACUGUUUGAACUCGAUCUCAAGGCACGUCCAAUAUAUUACGAUAAAAAUAUCAUUGCAUAAUAAUGUGUUGGCCAUUACUUGUCCAUUAUACAACUUUUAUAUAAAUGUUAUAUGGAUCUUUUUUUUUAAUCUUCUCUCUACAUAUGAAGUAAAAUAAUCUUUUUCAUACCAUUUCCACGAACAUGGGGAGCGGUCAAUAAAAUAGUUUAUAAAUAAUAAUCAAUAAUUUAUAAAUAGAGUAAAUAUAAUAAUCCUAUACUAUAAUUAUCUAGGCCUGAAUUUUUGGCACAUACCAUCUGUGACUCAAAUCCAGAAUUAUUAAUUGCUAAAUCAAUGGAUCUAACCAUCAUGGCAAGACUUAGUUUAUAUAAAUUAUAAUGUUAAUUCAUUAUAAUUAUAGAUUAUUUCUCUCAUGAUAGCUUAAUUAUAAUAUUGAGUCAAAAAUAUCAUAUUAAAAACUUGAGCAGAUAAACAAUAGCCAUUAAUUUCCAUGAUAGCAAUGGUCGAAGAUUUACUUUGGAAAACCAUUUUUCACUUAGGUGAAUUGGAGUUAAGCAUAUCAUGACAGGUUUAUGCAACUAUGCAAUGUAACGAGCUCAUAGGCUACAAUUUAAUUAGUUGUAUGCAUUCUAAAUAGCUCAUAUUGACCCACACAUAGUUAAUCACAUAUUAUGGUCACUAACCUUAUGCUCCACCAUAACUAUCUCUAAGUAAUAUUUAGUAUUUUAGUCUCUUACACAUAAGUUAUAAACACAAUGUGGAUCCUCUGUUAUGUGCAGAUCUGCGAAGUGCUAUAUAAUUCUUGACGAAAUGGAUAGCCAUCAAAUAAUAUAUAUUUUUUUAUCAAAAAAAUAAAAAUAACAUGCAUCUUUCAUAAUAAUGUACAUAUCUGUGGACUAUCUUAUUCGAGGACCAUCUAUCUUCUGACAAUAGCUAUCAGAGACCGCACAACAAUCUGAGGUGUAACCCAUGUACUGUAGAAUCAGUGAAGCAGUACUCAUUAUAAACCACUUAUGCUACAUCUUGUGAUUUUCAGUGUAUUUCGGUGAGUGGGCAGCCUUGGUGCUGACAGCCUUGCUAUAUGGUAAGUAAACUUACAAUGAAAUUCACUCUCGAGUUUUUAAACAAAAAUUAAAGAGUGCUUAUACGCCAAAUAUUUAUGAGCUUAAAUUUCCUGUCAUGCGAUGUGGUGUAUAGUGCACUAUCCAUCGUGAUAGAUGAUCGCAUGCAAAUGCACAUUUGUUAUGUAUGAUCGUCUAUUUCUUGAUGGAUGGGACGUGCUGUGCACCGUACGAUACGAUGCACAGUAGAGGAUCCACGCAGAACAUUAAUGUGUGUCGUGGUGCUGGAGGUCCACUCACAAAAGAUGCAAUUCGAGGAUUUGUAAUCGGUCUAUUGAUACCGCAAUAUGUAUAUAGUACAUAAUGAGAAAUUCUUUGUACACCAUCAGCGAUGUAGAAAAUCUAUCACGAAGCACACUGUCUCGUCCGAUUGAAUCACGUAGUCACUAUUUUUCAAUACAUAUUUAAUAUUUAUUUAAUAUUUAUAAUUUUAUUUUUUUAUUUAAAAUUAUGAAUGAUGAAAAUAUCUCUUUUCUUUUGAAAAAAUAAUGACAUUCUGUAUCAAUAUUAAUUAUGACAUUCUGCAUUGAAAUUAUGAUUUUCUGCAUAGUAUAUCAUAAUUUUUUUCAUAGGAUAUUAUAAAGAAAGAAAGGUAUUUUUGUCAUUGAAAAAAUUAUGGAUGUUACAAAGAGGAAAAAAUAUUUUCAUCAUUAAAAAAUUAUCAUAAUUUUUUUAAUGAUAAAAAUAUUUUUUAUGAUAUUUUGUAAAAAAAAUUAUGAUAUUUUAUAUAAAAAUUAUAAUUUUAAUAUAUAAUAUUAUAAUAUAAUUUUUUUAAAAAAAAAUUAUAAUUUAAAAUUUUAAAUAAAAAAAUUAUAAAUAUUAAAUAUAUAUUUAAAAACGAUGGUCAGCUUAGACGCGAAACGAUGCGUUCUGCGUCGGAUUUUCUACGCGAGGGCGGUGUACAAAGAAUUUUCCGGCACAGAAAAUAUCUACGUGGCAGCUUAUAAAGGGAGGGCUGGGACGAAACGGUCGUCAGAACUGGAUAAGAAAACGCCACUUGGUGGACAAUCACAUCCAUCGGUGAGAGUUCGUCACGUGGCGGCACAGGACGCUCGAGCCUGCUGGACGGCAUUUCCGCGGACGGGACUGCUCAUCAGGAACUUGUUAAGUUAAAGUAGACCAGUCAAUAAGACAACACCUACAAUCACAAAGUUGUAUCUGUAUAGUGGUAGGUCAGCCGGUACAUCAGGAGCAGACACAUGGAGUGGGCUCACGUGACGAUACAUGGGAACACCGGUGGGUAUCCACUCGAUAAGGGCCGUCCAAUCGUCGGCUGAUGGAUGGCAAUCCAUCAUCGUUAUAGCUGCAAUACGAUGGGUGGCUCGACGCCGAAAGCACUCACGGUGGGCCCAAACAGUACACCCCGAAGGCGCGACCAGGGGACCGGACCAUGUGGGGCCCAGCCGAGUGCCCCGAGUGCUGUCGCUUUUCUGGCUUAAGUACGGCCAUCCCCCUGGGCGCUGGGACGGCCUUCUCUUCACGCGAUCCGCGUUGGGAUAUUCUCCUGACAAGAGAGCCCCUGGCAUUUGCCUGAAGUUACAGAAUCGCCCAUUGAGCGUUUCACGUUAGGAUUACGGCUCAUCUUUUUUGCAUGGACUUGCAACCGUGAUAACCUCCAUGCCCACCUAAUGUCUGGUGUACGUCUGUGAGGUGACGCAAAUAGCCUUCAGAGUUAGCAAAUAAGGAUUGUUAUGGGCGUACUCUAGAGAUGGCAGUAGUUGAUACUAUCCAUGCUAAGAUUGAGAACUAUUGCUUUCCAAUUACUAUCGAACCCUAGGUUCUUAUGUAUCCACAUUAUGAUUCAACAAGUAGUAGUUUAACAUUCUAACUUGCUGUACAGGACAACCAAUGUUCUACCGGAUGUGUUUGGUGCUGCAUGUGGAGAAGGAUGGAGUCAGUAUCAUAUAUUAGGUAUGGAGUUUUAGAGGACUAUAGCAUCUUUAUGCAUAUACCUAUCAAGAAAAUAUCUGUUGCGGCCAAUUUCCUCGUCAUCUGAUCGUCGGGAGCGAGCAUCUGUAAAAGAAGUCCGCACUGACCGGAGGUGACUCCGGCGAAGACCCUCCGACGGUCAGUGCGGACUUCUUUCGCAGGCGCUCGCUCCCGGCGACCAGGCGACGAGGGGAUUGGCCGCAAUAGGUUUGGCGCGCCAGGAAGGGGGGAUCACGACCUCCACAGCACUCAAAACAUCCUUUCGAAAUGACAAGAACCAGAGCUCAGUGAUCGAGGGCUACCGGAUCGGCGAGGCGCUCUACCCGCCAGCAAGAGGCCCCUCCUCCACCUUCCAUGGCGGAGUCCAGCUCUCCACAUUCGGUGGCAACUACGGAGGUGCAAAUCGCGGCGAUCGUGCGGCAAAUGACCGUUCUGACGGACGCAGUCAAAAGCCUCCAACAACAACCGACUCAGUUGCCGCAACCGCCGGCGGAACAACAGGUGACGCACCCUAUGCCGUCCAGAAGCAGCCGCCGAUGCCUGCGUCAGCUCCCGUCUCCUCCUCAAGAGCAGCCGCCUCAGCACUCCCGUCGAGAUGGAGCAAGGCGGCCACGGUGUGACCCUCACCGAUCUCGGCAUCCCUCUCCUUCCCAACUGAAGUGGGCAAGGAAGGGGAAGCGGCCAAAGACACCGUCCACCUCACUCUCACAUUCUUCGAGAGGUUCGACUCCUGGAGUUUCUCAACACCGACGGUUGGACGACUACGAACACAGGUUCGAAAAAAUCGACCGUCAGCUCGCUCAACUCCAGGUGGAUGGCCAGAAGUCUUUGAACGACGUCGACUUUCAGAUCACCCAACCUCUCUCCCG
rnacentral:lncRNA from 1 species